AGGAAUAUAGCUCAGUGGUAGAGUGCUUGCCUAGCAUGUACAGGCCCCUGGGUUCAAUCCCCAGUAUCACUU
rnacentral:tRNA from 1 species